rnacentral:lncRNA from 1 species
UCAGCCUCCUCGAUCGCUUUCUCGACCUUCUGUCUCUUCUCCCUCUCCGCAAUGAGGGUGCUCUCAACCGACUCCAUCUUUUUCUGAUAGUUGAUCUUUAAUUUGCCGAACUCCUCUUUCUCUUUCUUCUGUUGGAUCACCAAAUUCACCAACUUGACCUCCAACAGAGUGAUCUUUUCUCUACUCUUCCCUUCUCACUCCUCGAC